AUAGUAUUGAAAAUAAAUUUUUUGCAUAGAGUAGGGUGGUUGUAUAUUAUCUGACCUGUGUGUCAAAUGCCCCCAGUGUCCCGAUUGCUGGAACUUUUCUGUUCACCCUCCAGUUUUGCUUUCCAGCCUUCUUCAACCUCCUGUCUGACCAAGGUGGUUGAUCUCUGAGGACACACUACCGACAGCCUCAAUUCUGUCUUCUCAUUGGGUUUGGCCAGUGGAGAGCGGUCAGAGGAAGUCAGGAACUGGAAGAGGGGAGAAAGAUGUUGGGUUAAUUAUUUCCACCAUCUGCAUGAACCAUCUGCCUCCCCACUGAGACACCCAAUUGGCAGUGCCUCUACAGAAGGCCAUUGCUCCCUUAGGUGGCUUUCUCCCCUUUGGCUGUCUCCUCUCUGGUUCCCUGUAAUUGUGUCCACUUCUUUUCAUCUCAAGCUUAGACUGCCUAUCAGUCAGGGUCCCAGAAAAACAGUGGCACUCUGAAAUUAGGAGGAUGUGAGGAGAGUCUAAUAAAGAAACAAAUUACAGAGAUGGGAACUGGCUGUUGGGAACCCACAGAAAAUGGUGCCGUGUGCUGGGACUAAAAGCAGCAAAACCGUGUUGCCACCCCGUGGUCUUAAGAGGAAGAAAGGAGGAGCUCCAAGGAAAAACACAGCAGACCCAUCGCUGGGAAUCAGGUCCCACCAGCCUCACCUUAGGCCCGCAUCUUUCUCCAGCAGAGGCAGUUCAUUCCAGUAGCAGCAGUUGAAUCCGGUGUGCAGUUUUCCCAGCACGCACAGAACUAGCUUCAUUGUGCCUUCUUGGAGACCCCAGCAGCAGCCAACCAACACCCACUCCUCAGCCAGUCACAGCCCCGUGGAGCCCCACUCCAAGCUUGGGGACAGCAGCAGCAGCUGAAUGGCAGCCUCCUUCUCAGAUGUCUGCAUCUCUGCUCUAUGGGAGCCCUCACAAGUUUCAAUAAUGUCAUCCUCUUCUCUUUGUUUCCCCAGCCCCAGGAACGAUAGGUUCUUUCUGCUGUGGCAUUGCCGCAAUUACUUGGUGUUCUCUUUGGGGCACAAAAUGAAAGAAUCCUGGGUCUCUGAAUCGUGAUACAGAGGAAAGCUACCCACCAACCCAGGACACAUUUACCGAACUGUUAUAUGAGCAAGAAAGACAUUUUGAUUGUGUAAAAUCACCAAAAUAUGGAUCCUAUUUUUUACAACAAUGAACUGCACCUAUUAUGCCUGAAGAACAUUUUAAAACAUGUUUCUAGACUCCAUCCAAAACCAGAAUCUUCCAGCACUGUCUAGUAAUCUAUCAUUUUAAAAUGUUAUUCUUCCUGGUUUGGAAACCACAGUCUAAAUUGCCCUGAGCGUAUACUUAUUAACAUUCACCAGGUAGCAACUACCCAAAGCAUAGUUGUGGUACUUAGAAGGAAUUCAUCUAUAGCUCAAGAAUUAACUUCGUAGUUUUUAACUGCUCUUUUUUUUAGAAAUGUCACAAAAAGACUGAGUUCAGAGAAGAUCAGCAUGAAGUGAGCUGUGGAAGUUUUGCUAUUCCCAAAAGAAAAGGGCUUUCAGAUAUCCUGAUUGUCUGCCAGCAUUGACUGCCUCUGAAAAAUCAGUGUCUUUGCCAACUAUGUGACAGACACUGGGCAGAUUUACAGGAUGAGAGACAAUUGCUGGGGCUCCUUUCUAUUCUGUUAAAAAGCCCUGACCCAGAGAACUCAGGACUUUCUGGCGCAAAAUGGUCUGAUACAGAUUUUGUUGCUGUCUCAGAUUCACGCACUUGCUUUGGUUCGUAUGGCUAUUUUCAGGUGACAGCAGUAAUUAAGGCAUGUACUUGGUGAUAGGCAUCUUCUUGCAUGGGUCACCCCACAGGGUUUGAUUCCCAGGCCAACUGGCAAGAUUUCUGAAAGCAAGUGACAGCUUGUAAGAGGGGUGAAGGAAAAGGCAGAGCUGGCCGGGUGGCUGUGUCCUAUGACAAAGGAUUACAGUUAAUGGUGCUGAGGUCUGGCAAGCACCACGACCCUGCCUGGCUCCCAAGCUGCUCUGUCUAAAUGAUCAUUGUUGAUUAUGUGUCUAUACCUAGGCAAGAGAGUGGGACAGCAUGACAGAAAGCAGCUUCUUGACAGGCUCCAGAAAAUUUCCUUUAUAAGGGCUUUACCUUUAAUAGAGAACUCGAGAGGUCAAAAAUGUUAUAUUAAUACUUUGUCUUCAGACAGGCUGCCCAUGUAAACAGUUCAUGCUGCUAGACAAAACGAGUCUUAGGAAGCUUAAGGGCAUGUUUCCACAGCAGCCUGGUAUGCCUAAAUUAGCAGUAAUUAUGUCUAAAGAGAGAAGCAUAGUUUAAAAGAAUUAUGGCUAUGACUUUUGGCACAUGGAAUGGAAUGGAAUCAAAUCUUUUUUUGUUUUUUAGUUUCUUUCUUUCUUUCUUUCUUUCUUUCUUUCUUUCUUUCUUUCUUUCUUUCUUUCUUUCUUUCUUUCUUUCUUUCUUUUGAGACAGGGUCUUGCUGUGUUGUCCAGGCUGGUGUUGAACUGCUGGCAUCAAACAAUCUUACUGCCUCAGCCUCACAAAGUAUGGAUUGCAGGCAUGAACUACCACACCCAGCCAAUUUUGGAGUCAAAUCUAAAAAUCUUUGGGUAUUUCAAAACCCACAAAGGUUUCUAGUUUAUUGACAAAAGCACUUAGAGCCUGGCCUAAGACAGACAAGGAUUAUUUGAAAUGUAAAACCACUCUUGAGACCCCAAGUAGGAAACAGGCAGUGAAUGCAGCUAAGCCACCAAAAAUGACCUGUUUUACAAUGCCCCUGUAGAAAUGAGCAAGGGAGAUGAUGAGAACAAAAGGAUCUUCCAAAAAGCAGAAUCAGAAAAAUAGAUUAGAGAACUAUUCCCAGGGAGCAGAACCUGGGCUGAAUCAAGAAAUGUUACCUCUUUCCAGAGCAAGGAAACUUGGUAACAUUGACCUAGGAGGUUUCAGAAUUGCUAUGGAUCAGUAAAUGCAUUGCACCUCACAUCUUUCCCCUGUUGAAGGGGAGUAAUUAUCCUGUCUCUGGUUUACCUUGAAUUUCUGGUGUAUGUGGGGCAAUUAAUUAGACUUUUUAGUUCAUAGAUCUUUUUAUCCUACAAUUUGAGAUAUUCCCUGUGGUUAGCAGAAUUUUAAAGAUGUCCUCCCAAAAUUCCUGUCACCUGGUUAUUCAAUCAAAUGCUAAUCUAGUUAUUGUCAUCAAGUGACUUUACAGAUGUAAUUAAGAGUACAGCUCACCUUAACACAGGGAGAUUAUCUUGUAUUAUAUGGGGCUCAUCCAGCCUAAUCAGAUGAACCCUUUAAAACAGAGAAUUUUCUCUGUCUGAAAGCAGAAAUGAGGCAGAAGGGGAGUUGAGAGAGGCUUAAAACGUGAGAUGCUGGCUAUGAAGAUGAAGAGGGCCAAGGAAUGCAGGCAGCUUUUACAAACUGAGAACAGGGAGCUCUUGAGCCAGGUGUGUUGGCACACAAUUUAAUCCCAGCUACUUAGGAGGCUGAGAUGGGGGUAUGACAUAAGCCCAGCAGUCUGAAUCCAGCCUGGGCAACCUAGUAAGACCCUGUCUCUAUUUUAGUAAAACAAACAAACAAGAAAACCCAGGGAGCUCAGUUCUAUAACUGCAUGGAACUGAAUGCUGCCAACAACUGAAUGAGCUUGGAAGUGGAUUGAGCCUCCAGAAAGGAGUGCAUCCCUGCCAACACACUGAUUUCAGCCUUAUGAGACUCUAAACAGAUGGCCCAUCUGAGCCAUGCUGUACCUGGACUUCUAACGUAGAGAACUGCAAGAUAAGAAAUUGGUAUUAUUUUAAGUAACUAAAUUUGUGAUUAUUUGUUAUGGCAGCAAUAGAAAGCUAAUACACUCCCUCUCCCAUAAAUGAACUUCAAGAAAGAGGCUUUAGGUCUAGUCGGUUCACUUAAAACUCAACAGAGCUGCAAAUUUAGAUUAAGAAAGAUGGGUUUACAACCCUAUCCCUACAUGGCGUAAGAAAGAUCCAAGAAACACUGAAUAAGUCACAAUUCUGGUCUCAGCCACUAAAAUAAAGCCUUCCGCUGUUGUUAUUAAUAUAUGAGAACUAUGAAGUCUUUAAAUUUGGGGAGAUGGCAUAAAGGUAAAUAUGUUGGCAGAUGAGAUUGUGUACAACUGUCAGAUCUAUAUGUUUAUGAGGAACUGAAGAGCAGAAUUUGAAACAAAUUGCUUGAAUUACAUGAAGCCCACCACAGUGGAAAAAGUACCAUGUAAAUAUCUCUAAGCCUCAUUUUUCCUUCCCUUUUUAACAGAGAUAAAAGUAUCUCCACCACAGAUUAUAUAUCUUGCUCUGUAAGGUGAGCCUAACCAUAUUUAUCCAACUUGAGUCAUCCAAUUAUCACUUUUGUAAUUUUUACCAUAUCUUCAUGCUACCUAUUCUAUUUACCUAAUAUUUAACGCAAUUUGUAUUUUUUGUACUUUUUUUUGUGUUUUUGUUUGUUUAUUUUUGAGACACAGUAUCACUCCAUCACCUAAGCUGAAGUGCAGUGGCGUGAUCUUGGCUCACUGCAACCUCUGCCUCCUGGGUUCAAGUGAUUCUGAUGCCUCGGCCUCCUGAGUAGAUGGGAUUGCAGGCAUGCACCACCAUGCCCGGUUAAUUUUUGUAUUUUUAGUAGAGACAGGGGUUUCAUUCACCAUGUUGGCCAGGCUGGUCUUGAAUUCCUGGCCUCAAGUGAUUCGCCCACCUCAGCCUCCCAAAGUGUGGGGAUUACAGGCAUGAGCCACUGUACCUGGCCUCUUUGUGCUUUUUAAUGCACAAUAAAAUAAUCACAUAGCCAUUAAAAUGUAAAAUCUUCAUUUGUGCAAUUCCUAAAAUCAUUUCCCGUACUAUUCUUUGAGAAAUCAUAAACUAAGAUGAUCAUAAUUCAGUAAACAAUAGACAAUCUUAUACAAAUGAAAAUGUUGAGGUAUAUAUUUUCAAGUAUUAUUCAGGAAGUUCAUUUGGGGAUAAUAAUUUAAAAACAAAACAAAACAAAAACUUCCAGGGCCAGAUAUAUAUGUUCAUAGUUUCCUGAUUAACUAAGGUUUGUACAUGCAUUUGUUAAACAGAUACCUCAUGAGCAUAUAGUGUCUGUUAAACACUACAUGGCUCUUGAAACACAAAAAUGAACAAAGCAGAUCUGCAAAUCCUGCUAUCCUCUGCAAAUCACAGCCUAGUGGAAUAAUAGAAAUUCAGUAAGAAAUUACAUGAACAAUUAUUUAAUUAUAAAUGUUUCAUGAGUGGCAAAAAUCUUGCAUUUCUAUAUAUUUGGAACCAUCUCCCCAGUUAUAUUAAAGGUACACUAACCUUAACAUUUUGUGGUAGUUCAAACCAUGACUGCACAUGUUUUUGACACUCAUUCUAUUGAGUAGUUACAUCAGUGUCUCCUUCUCUUGAAUCUGGGCUGGCCUUAGAAACUCACUCUUAGCCAAUAGAAUGCAGCCAAUGAUGCUAUAUGACUUCUUGAGUCUAGGUGUAUCAGUCAUCUCUUGUUUCACAAUAAAUUACCCCAAAACUUAUUGGCUUAAAGUGAUCAAUAUUUAUUACUCACAGUCUCUAUGGGUCAAGAUUUGGGGGAUGGCUUAGCUGGCAAUUCUGACUCAGAGCCUCUUACAAGGUGUCAGUCAAGGUAUCAGCCUGGGCUGCAGUCAUCUGAAGACUUGACUGAGGUGGGAAGAUGGGUUUCCAAGAUGGCUCGCUCACAUGGCUUCUGGUGGAAGUCUUCAGUGGGUUUCUGGCUAACGACAGGGGGCUCAGUUCCUUGCCCUGGGGUACUCUUCAUAGGAUUGCUUGACUAUCACAGGAGCUGGCUUUUCCCAGAGCAAGUGACUCAAGACAUAGCAAGAAGGAAAUCAUAAUGCCUUUAUAUCCUCAUCUUGGAAAUCAAAUAUCAUCACUUCCGCAUUAUUCUACUUGUUAGAAAUGAGUCACUAAGUACAGUUCACAUCUGAGAAAGGAGAAUUAGGCUACAUCUUUUGAAGGAAGAGUAUCAAGGUAUUUGUGGAUCUAUUUUAAUACCACCAUACUAAUCAUAAAAAGUGAUGUAGCUUCCUGGUUAGGAAGAUGUAGCAACCUAAUCUUGCUGGCUAGGCAGAUGUUGCAUAAAACACCUUCUCCCUAAAUUGCCAUGUAAAAUGUCCAAAAAUUCUAAGGCUGCCAUGCUGUGAGGAAGCCCAGCCCACAUGGAGCGACCACAUGUGGGUACACCAGUUGACAGCCCCACUGAGAUCCCAGCCAAUAGUCAACGUCAACCACAAGAAAUGGGAGUACUAUGGACUGAAUGUAUUCCUCCCAAAUUCAUAUGUUGAAAGCUAAUCAAUCUUCAAUGUGGGAGUAUUUGGAGGAGGGGCUUUUGCAAGGUAAGUAGGUCAUGACAGCAGAGCCCUCAUGAACGGGAUUAGUGUCUUUAUAAGAAGAGGCCACAGAGAGAUCCUUCACCCCUUCUGCCAUAUGAGGUUACAGCAAAAAGAUGGCUAUCUAUGAAGAAGUGGGAAUCACCAAACACUGAACCUACCAAUGCCUUGAUCUUGGACUUUUCAGCUUCCAGAGCUGUAAAAAUAAGUUUCUGUUGUUUAUAAGCCAUCCAGUUUAUGGUAUUUUGUUAUAACUGCCCCAAAGGACUAAGACAUUGGGCAAAGAUGCCUACAGAUGAUUCUAGCCCCAGCUGUUGAGACACCUUCAGCCAUCCUCUCCGUGAGCCAUUGAAUCUUCUCAGCUUCCCAGAUACAAGUCAUCACUAAUUUUAGGAUCAGAUGCCUCUUCUUAACAUAGCUUCAAAGGGGACACAGCAUAGCACAGUGAUUAUAUGCAGAAGCUCUGGAUUUCAGGGUCAGUGUCAACUCUCUCUUGUGCUGCUUCCAGCAACAUGACCUUGGGCAAUUUGCUUUAAUUCUCUAAACCCCAGGUUCUUCAUCCUUUAGUUACGAAAACAAAAGUGAGUAGGUGUUGUUUCGAAGACUGAAUGGAGUAAUGCAUUCAAAGUUCUCAGUACAUAAUUUAUGCUAGGUGUUGGUAUUAUUUUCACUAUUAUCAUUUUUAUUUUCAUUAAAUCUGCUUCUCUUCCAGGAUUUCCCAUAUUAUUGGUUUAUGUCAUGAAAAUCCUAAAUCACCCUCAGGCUCAAAAUUAAAACUAAAACAACAAAAAAUUUUCCACUCUUCCUUCUAUUUCACCAAAUAUUUAUAAUAAAUUUUCAAGUUCCAUUGAUUCUACCUCCAUAGUUUCUGUUAUCCUUCCACCCUCAAAGCCAAUUAAGGGAUAGGCCAGGAGGAAGUGGCCCCGGGACACCAGCUGAAAUGGAAAGUAAACAGCACCAGGAACACUAGCACAAUGGAGGAGCAGGUAUUUACCAGAAGAAGAGUGUGAACAUAGUUGGAAGGAAUGCUUGGUUAAGUCAGUAGAGGUAAAGUCAUGUGAUAAGUCCCCAUCAAAAGACUGUGAGUGGAAAUGUUUUGUGCAACUUCUGUCUCACCUGUUUAAAGGAAAGGACUUGCCUGGACUUAUUCCCUUUUCUCCUACCUGUGAUCUGGAACACGAAUAUGCCUCUGCUUGACUUUGACCAUGGAGAAGAAAAAAUAUUUUAAAGGAUGGUGGAGUAAUAAGAUAAAAGGCACCUGGUUCCCUG
rnacentral:lncRNA from 1 species